rnacentral:rRNA from 1 species
AUUGAACGCUGGCGGCAUGCCUUACACAUGCAAGUCGAACGGCAGCACGGGUGCUUGCACCUGGUGGCGAGUGGCGAACGGGUGAGUAAUAUAUCGGAACGUACCUUAUUGUGGGGGAUAACGCAGCGAAAGCUGUGCUAAUACCGCAUAAUCCCUAAGGGGGAAAGCGGGGGACCGUAAGGCCUCGCGCAAUUAGAGCGGCCGAUACCUGAUUAGCUAGUUGGUGAGGUAAAGGCUCACCAAGGCAACGAUCAGUAGCUGGUUUGAGAGGACGAUCAGCCACACUGGGACUGAGACACGGCCCAGACUCCUACGGGAGGCAGCAGUGGGGAAUUUUGGACAAUGGGGGCAACCCUGAGCCAGCAAUGCCGCGUGAGUGAAGAAGGCCUUCGGGUUGUAAAGCUCUUUUGUCAGGGAAGAAACAGCAGCUCUAACACAGUAUGCGAAUGACGGUACCUGAAGAAUAAGCACCGGCUAACUACGUGCCAGCCGCCGCCGUAA